UACGGGGGGGGCAAGCGUUGUUCGGAAUUACUGGGCGUAAAGGGCGCGUAGGCGGUUUGCUAAGUUGAAUGUGAAAACUCUGGGCUUAACCCAGAGCCUGCAUUCAAUACUGGCAGGCUAGAGUUCUGGAGGGGAUAGCGGAAUUCCUGGUGUAGCGGUGAAAUGCGUAGAGAUGCGGAGGAACACCGAUGGCGAAGGCAGCCCCCUGGGCUAACACUGACGCUCAGGCACGAAAGCUAGGGGAGCGAACGGG
rnacentral:rRNA from 1 species